rnacentral:rRNA from 1 species
AACGAACGCUGGCGGCAUGCCUAACACAUGCAAGUCGAACGCGUGUAGCAAUACACGAGUGGCGCACGGGUGAGUAACGCGUGGGGACCUGCCCCGGGGUGGGGGAUAACCGAUGGAAACGUCGGCUAAUACCGCAUACGACCUGAGGGUGAAAGAUUUAUCGCCCUGGGAGGGGCCCGCGUCGGAUUAGCUAGUUGGUGGGGUAACGGCCUACCAAGGCGAUGAUCCGUAGCUGGUCUGAGAGGAUGAUCAGCCCCACUGGGACUGAGACACGGCCCAGACUCCUACGGGAGGCAGCAGUGGGGAAUAUUGGACAAUGGGGGCAACCCUGAUCCAGCAAUGCCGCGUGAGUGAUGAAGGCCUUAGGGUUAUAAAGCUCUUUCGGCGGGGACGAUGAUGACGGUACCCGCAGAAGAAGCCCCGGCUAACUUCGUGCCAGCAGCCGCCGUAACAC